AGUGAACGCUGGCGGUAGGCCUAACACAUGCAAGUCGAACGGCAGCACAGUAAGAGCUUGCUCUUACGGGUGGCGAGUGGCGGACGGGUGAGGAAUACAUCGGAAUCUACUUUUUCGUGGGGGAUAACGUAGGGAAACUUACGCUAAUACCGCAUACGACCUACGGGUGAAAGCAGGGGAUCUUCGGACCUUGCGCGAUUGAAUGAGCCGAUGUCGGAUUAGCUAGUUGGCGGGGUAAAGGCCCACCAAGGCGACGAUCCGUAGCUGGUCUGAGAGGAUGAUCAGCCACACUGGAACUGAGAAACGGUCCAGACUCCUACGGGAGGCAGCAGGGGGGAAUAUUGGACAGUGGGGGCAAGCCUGAUCCAGCCAUACCGCGUGGGUGAAGAAGGCCUUCGGGUUGUAAAGCCCUUUUGUUGGGAAAGAAAAGCAGCAGGUUAAUACCCCGCCGUUCUGACGGUACCCAAAGAAUAAGCACCGGCUAACUUCGUG
rnacentral:rRNA from 1 species